rnacentral:rRNA from 1 species
GGGAGUGGGGUGGGAGGAGGGGGGGAAAUAGGAGGGGGGGAAGGGUUAAGUGGAAGUAGGGGGGGGAAAGCGGGCGUAGGCGGUGCGGUAAGGCGGCUGUGAAAUGCCGGGGCACAACCGGGGAAUGGCAGUGGAGACGGGAGAGGUAGAGUGUGAGAGAGGAGGGUGGAAUUCCCGGUGGAGCGGUGAAAGGCGUAGAGAUCGGGAGGAACAGCAGUGGCGAAGGCGGCCAUCUGGAUCAACACUGACGCUGAGGCACGAAAGCGUGGGGAGCAAACAGGAUUAGAUACCCCAGUAGUC